rnacentral:tRNA from 1 species
GCGUCGGUACUCAAGCGGUCAACGAGGAUGCGCUGUAGACGCAUUGCCUUCGGGCUACGCAGGUUCGAAUCCUGCCCGACGCA